CCUACGGGUGGCAGCAGUCGAGAAUCAUUCACAAUGGGGGAAACCCUGAUGGUGCGACGCCGCGUGGGGGAAUGAAGGUCUUCGGAUUGUAAACCCCUGUCAUGUGGGAGCAAAUUAAAAAGAUAGUACCACAAGAGGAAGAGACGGCUAACUCUGUGCCAGCAGCCGCGGUAAUACAGAGGUCUCAAGCGUUGUUCGGAAUCACUGGGCGUAAGGCGUGCGUAGGCUGUUUCGUAAGUCGUGUGUGAAAGGCGCGGGCUCAACCCGCGGACGGAACAUGAUACUGCGAGACUAGAGUAAUGGAGGGGGAACCGGAAUUCUCGGUGUAGCAGUGAAAUGCGUAGAUAUCGAGAGGAACACUCGUGGCGAAGGCGGGUUCCUGGACAUUAACUGACGCUGAGGCACGAAGGCCAGGGGAGCGAAAGGGAUUAGAUACCCCGGUAGUC
rnacentral:rRNA from 1 species